AGCUUAGCAGCUAGUCCCCCAUCAAAAACAACUAUCCACAUCAAUACCCCCUAAUAUACGCAAUAAUACUAAAACAAAACAUUUUUCCCCUCCAGUAUAGGUGAUAGAAAAAGGAAUAUGGAACGACAGAGAAAGUACCGCAAGGGAAUGCUGAAAGAGAAAUGAAACAACUCAGUACAAGCCUAAAAAAGCAGAGAUUAUUGCUCGUACCUUUUGCAUCAUGAUUUGGCUAGAAAAACCCAAGCAAAGAGCACUUUAGUUUGGCCCCCCGAAGCUAAGUGAGCUACUCCAAGACAACCUAUAUAGGGUGAACCCGUCUCUGUUGCAAAAGAGUGGGAAGAGCUUCGAGUAGCGGUGACAGACCUAUCGAACUUAGUUAUAGCUGGUUGUCUGGAAAUUGGAUAGAAGUUCAGCCUCCCGGCUUCUUUACUCAACCAUACUUCUUUAUACUGCCUCGACAUUUAAAGAAACCGAGAGAGUUAAUCAAAGGGGGUACAGCCCCUUUGAUACAAAACACAACUUUUAUAGGAGGAUAAAGAUCAUAAUAAAAUAAGGUAAAGUGUUUAAGUGGGCCUAAGAGCAGCCACCUUAACAGAAAGCGUUAAAGCUCAAACACACAUCUAUACCCAUCAUCCCGAUAAACAAAUCUUAAUCCCCUGACCUUACCAGACCGUUCCAUGCAAACAUGGAAGAGAUUAUGCUAAAAUGAGUAAUAAGAGAAUUAUAGAUUCUCUCCUGCCACAAGUGUAAAUCGGAGCGGACUUUCCGCCGAAUCUUAACGGCCCCAAGCAAAGAGGGUAAUGAAUAAUUAGCCCGAAUAGCCUAGAAAAAUAUUCAAUAAACAACCGUUAAUCCCACACUGGUGUGUCCCCUAGGAAAGACUAAAAGAAAGAGAAGGAACUCGGCAAAUUUAGGUCCCGCCUGUUUACCAAAAACACCGCCUCUUGCAAAACUAAUGAAUAAGAGGUCCCGCCUGCCCUGUGACUAUAUGUUUAACGGCCGCGGUAUUUUGACCGUGCGAAGGUAGCGUAAUCACUUGUCUUUUAAAUGGAGACCUGUAUGAAUGGCAUAACGAGGGCUUAACUGUCUCCUCUUUCAAGUCAAUGAAAUUGAUCUUCCCGUGCAGAAGCGGGAAUAGCAUCAUAAGACGAGAAGACCCUAUGGAGCUUUAGAUACAAGGCAGAUCAUGUAAAACACCCUUCUACAAGAGGAUAAAACUAGAUGAAUACUGCCCUAAUGUCUUUGGUUGGGGCGACCGCGGCGAAAUAAAAAACCCCCGCGUGGAAAGAGGGCACCCUGCCCUCCAAACCAAGAGCUCCCGCUCUAAUAAACAGAAUAUCUGACCUAUAAGAUCCGGCAAUGCCGAUCAACGGACCGAGUUACCCUAGGGAUAACAGCGCAAUCCCCUUCUAGAGUCCAUAUCGACAAGGGGGCUUACGACCUCGAUGUUGGAUCAGGACAUCCUAAUGGUGCAGCCGCUAUUAAGGGUUCGUUUGUUCAACGAUUAAAGUCCUACGUGAUCUGAGUUCAGACCGGAGUAAUCCAGGUCAGUUUCUAUCUAUGAUAUGAUUUUUUCUAGUACGAAAGGACCGAAAAAAUGGGGCCCAUGUUUUAAAUACGCCCCGCCCUUACCUGAUGAAAAACAACUAAAAAAGGUAAAAGGACAUAUCCUCAACGGCCCAGAAAAUGCUGU